GACGAACGCUGGCGGCGUGCUUAACACAUGCAAGUCGAACGAGUGGCGAACGGGUGAGUAAUGUAUGGGGCCCGCCCCAUAGAGGGGGAUAACUACUGGAAACGGUGGCUAAUAAUGAAUCCUGUCGGAUAACCCAUAUGGGAUUAGCUGGUAGGUAAGGUCAUGGCUUACCUAGGCGACGAUCCCUAGCUGGGCGGAGAGGAUGACCAGCCACACUGGGACUGGGCCACGGCCCAGACGCCUACGGAGGGAGCAGUGGGGAAGAUUGCACAAUGGGCGAGAGCCUGAUGCAGCCAUGCCGAGUGUAUGAAGAAGGCCCUAGGGUUGUAAAGUACUUUCAGUCGGGAGGCGUUACCGACAGAAGAAGCACCGGCUAACUCCGUGCCAGCAGCCGCGGUAAUAC
rnacentral:rRNA from 1 species